CAUACUGGUAACUUUUGUUGUAAUAGAAGACAAUGAACACUAAGUACCAGAGAAAUUUUUCAAAAUAUUAAAUGAUUAAACAAUAUUAAUUUUCAAGUAUUCUACUUACGAAUACUUGAACCCCUUAUAUAUGAUUCCAGUAUUUUUGGUUACCGAUUACCAUUAUCUACGUGAGAUAUUUUUUGUUGCCGACAGCCAUUAUGGCAGAAUCAUUUUUUGGCUGUCGAUAACUAUUAUUCGUGACGGAGUUAUUUUUAGUCACCAAUGAUCAUUUUUCAUGACUGAGGGUUUUUGGUUACUCCUAACCAUUAUAGUUUUGGUUACUGAUACCUAUUAUGUAAGAAAGCAUUUUUUUAUCGCUGAUAACAAUUAUCAACGACAUAAUUUCUUGCUACCGAUAAUCAUCAUAAAUUAGAGAAUUUCUUUGGUGACUAAUAACCGUUAUUUUUGGGGAAUUUCUUUUUGGCUGCUGAUAACCAUUAUCAAAGACGGAACUUUUUUUAGGUACCGAUAAUCAUUAUCGAUGACGGGAUUUUUUCGUUACCCCAUUACCAAUUGUCGAUAACCCGAAUUUUGUUUUAGCAACCAUUAUCAAUGGCGAAAAAUCGUUUUGGUUGAUAAGCAAAGAUUUUUAUUGUUUAUCAUGAUUAUUCGUAAUCAAAUUGUUUUAAUUGAAUAAGUCUUAUAGCAUAACUUUUUAAACUUGUGUUUUUCCCCUUUUACCCGCACUCUCAAACGAUAACAAUUCUCCAUAUUUGCGCAUUGUUGCUUGUUCAGUUGAUACGACUUCUUGUUUUUAAAUUAUCCAAUGGCCGUUAGGAAAUAUAGAAUAUUUUUGUAAUAAGAAGGUAAAACGUCCAAGUAUAUUUUAUAACACUUCCAGGGCCUUCAUAAAGCUUGCCGCUAUCGUGUUUAAAACAUAGUAUCGAGUUUCAUGUCCGAAAUAAAUGCCAGCAAUUUAUGUCACAAUUUUACUCAAAAUUCAACAGUCUAAAAAGCUCAGACAGUACAUACUUUUUGUUGCUCUCAAGCUUAAAUUUAUAGAAAAUUAUUAACACUGGGAAAUAUUGAAACGUUUCAAACGAUACAGGUAAAGAAAAGCUGCUCGAUUACUUAUCAACAGAGUAUAUAUUAUGCAAAGUUCUCGAUUACAUAAUGCAAUUUUUUACGAUAAUGUUUCGAAAGACGUUCGCUUGCUACGAUUUAGAGAAUUGUUUGAAGUUAGUAACCCCUCCCACCAAAUCACACCAAACAUCCCAAAGGAGAUAAGAGAGAAGCUUAUAGCAGAGACAAACACAGAAUCUUGAAAUUCGAUCCGAUGUACGAGAGAAUCGAAGUAGCUGCAGACACGCAAACGUGAAGAUUAUAUCCAGUUACAGUUACCAACACGUAUAAAUAAUAUAGAGCAGCUUGGACUAAUUGGAUAGGAAGAAAUUAGCUUAACCGGUAAAUGUCGCGCUGAACGUGCAGAUUGCACAUUAUAACGGAAUAUGCCGGAGUACUAUUAAUAACCAAAGAAGAACAAGUGAAAUCAAUAUACGUAUUGCUUUACACAAAUAAUGCUAAAAUUAAAAGUUCUGCUUAAGUAAACUUAAAUGAGAAUUUAAAAUGAGAAAAAUCUCUGAGGACACCUAGAUAAGACUGCGAUAGACGGAAGCUCGUAGAAGGCUAUUAUUGUGUUAUUAAUGACUCAUCGAACACGAAACGAGGAUAUCUAAGAUUUAAUUUUUGAUAAAACCCUAUUGAUGAAAAGUCAAAUUGCAAUGUUUCUUAUUACAUUCUUACGUAACAGUAUUUACAUUUGUAUUCUUUUCAGCGGAGAACAGAUCAAACGGAUUAUUAUUCUAUUGACUUUCAACAAUGCUUAUUUAUAAUUUAUAAACAGCAACACAUCGUGUAGAUAUGUCUCACGUGUUCUCAUUGUCACUCGUCCUUGCUCUCGGAAAACUUGUAAGCAAUUUUCAAGUCUUAUUAAGAAGAAUCACGAAUUUUACACUUUUUAAAAGAAAUUACUCUUGAAAUGUUGGCAAUGGCAAGAGGAAUAAAUCUUCAUGUGUUAACCGCAAUUUAUGAAUAAUAAUUUAUGAUUUAGCUGUAUGACUUUGAACUUCGGACAUCGAUUUACGAGGAGAACGAGUGUUAUUAAAAAGAAUUAUUCUUAUUCUCUACGUUUUCUAAUUUUCUAAUUAUUAUUGUUACUCUCUGCAUUUUCCUAAUUGUUUAAACAAUUUUCAACAUUGUCACAGACUUCAAAAUUGUAAGUGUACUCUUAAACUAGUUUUUUGUGACUCUAUAUGAAAUAACUUGCUGUCAUAAAAUUGUCCUAGUGUUUGAAAAGAGUGAACAUUUGCAGAAGUUUUAUGUUUUGAUCCAGGAAAUUCAGAGGAAAGACAAGAUGAGAACGCUACAGAAAGAAUUGCUCUAAAAUACUAUAUGCACCACUGGUGUUGCAUUCACAAAAAAUGUUGUGUCUAGCGCCAAUUGAAUUAUCUUAAAAUAAACUUUCAAAACUUGACAUGAAAAGUGUAAAAAAGAUGCACAAUGGGGCGCAUAAAUUGCUGUUAAUUGUUGUUAACCAAAUAAUAGGUCUUCCAUCUCACUCAAAUACUAAUGCUUCCUCCUCCUCCAGUGAAAAUACACUUUGGAAAGGUUCUAAACUAGUUCUCAACAACUGUCGAGGACUUUCUCGACAGAAACCCACCUUCCUGUCCAAUGCAGUUUUCAAGACAUUAAAAGCUGCAACUGCUUUACGACAGCCCAUUGCUUCCGUGCAGUUACUUCAACAGUCAUCCGCGUUCAUUCUCCGGUCCAACAUUGUCGCUCUGUCCUCCAUCCGUACGUUCAUUUUAUCUAAAAGUUAGCGUCCACCGAAAUGUCCCAUCUUUCCCCAAAUGUUACAUCUAAUUAAUGAGACUAAUCGAACGACAGUGUGUUCAUCUGCUUGAGAAUAGUCAAAAGAUGACGAUCGUUGAGGUUAGGUUGGAGUUAGGUUGAGGUUAGGUUGUCUCCAUGGCGGGCGGUAGUGGAAUGGCGCCCAGAAGUGGAACUGCAGUCACAGCCUGGUCAAUAUAACUCGACUCAUAACUUUUUUGUCGGACAUUACUCUGCUGUUCUCGCAGCAACAGAGUGUCCAUGAGGAUUUCUCUACGUUAAAAAAGAAAAA